rnacentral:rRNA from 2 species
UUUAUAUGAGAGUUUGAUCCUGGCUCAGGAUGAACGCUGGCGGCGUGCCUAAUACAUGCAAGUCGAACGAGUUCUCGUUGAUGAUCGGUGCUUGCACCGAGAUUCAACAUGGAACGAGUGGCGGACGGGUGAGUAACACGUGGGUAACCUGCCCUUAAGUGGGGGAUAACAUUUGGAAACAGAUGCUAAUACCGCAUAGAUCCAAGA